rnacentral:miRNA from 3 species
GGGGGGGGGGGGGGGGUG